UUGAUCUGUGAGUGAAGAGAAUUGGUCAUACUUCUGUUCAAGAAAACCAAGAAAAGAAGUGCUUGGAAGAACAGUAUCAUCCUAAGCAUAUGUUAGCUUGAAUGCUGUCCAAGAAAGAGGAUUUUGUUGUGAGUGAAGAGAUUGAUCAUAAUUAACGUGAAGAAAACAGAAAAAUAACUGUCCAAGAAUCAGAUCCAAAAAUAGGAUUUUGUUGUGAUCAGUAAUGCAUGUUUAGGAAAUCAAAAGGCUUUGGUAACACAAAAUGAGGAAGAGUGUGUAUUGUUUCUGCACCUCCAUCCUCCUCAUCUCAGUUUCAGCUUUUCUUUUCUCAUGAUUCUCCCAUGCUUGUAUCUUCACCUCUUCACGCUUGUAUCUGCAGGAAAUGAUGGAACGAUCAGAAGCCAAGGACUUCAAGAAAGAAUAAAAGAGAUGGUGUCUGAGAACAAUGGUAGUUUGCCGAUCACUUGCAGAGGAACAUACGGGUGGAAUCAUCACUGUUCUUCUAAGAAUUUAUCACAGUACUUCCGUUUGGAUUCACCCAAAGCACAAACAAUUGCAAAGGAGAUUGCUUCAGUUCAGAACUACAAGAGCAGGGCAAGAGUAGCAAAGGAAGAACAUGAAAACAGGAUACUUGCUGCCGUCGAUGUGAGCAGCUUCACCUCUGCAAGGCCAGCCAUUGCCGCUCGACCUCCCGAAAGGCACUGCCUCGCUUCUCCUCUCCGGAUUCCUCAUCCCCGGCUGGUGGUCGUCGUGCUGUUCCGCGCCCUGUCGGCUUCUCCCCGGGGUGGAUGACCUCGAAGAGAGCGGACUCUUCAACACCGGCGUCGUCGCUCGAAGCGGCGUGCCGGUCCGAGAUGGUUCCUUGCUUGCGAUCGGCGUCAUCUCCGUGCUCGCGUCUCUCAAACACACCGAUCUGACCACCACGGACGAGUCCUCGCUCGGCUUGUUCGUCCUCCACAACGGCUCGUUGCAGUCCACCUUCUUUGUUUCGGCUGCGUCUUGAGCAGCCACUGCGAGAGCCAUGUCGUCCUCCAGAACUCCAUCGGCGCUGCUACAGGAGUCCCGCCCUCUCUGGGACAAUGAGGUGAGCAGCCUCCGGUCGUCGGCGUUCGAGUUCCUUGGCUUGCUCACGGAGUGCUUGUGGUCUGCCCGAGCUGAGAGCCCCACCAGCCAUUUCUGGGCGUCGUCCCACUUGGAAGGGGUGGGCUUGGCGCGCGACCCCAGCGCUUUGUGGUGGUGAAGGGCCUUGGUUGGGCCGGCGCCACUGUGGAACUCGAAGCCGUAUGCAUUGCAGCUAUGGUGAUCCUGGGCUGAUUCAUGGCUACAGCUCCCCUUGCUCUCCACUGGCCUCAUCCUCCCAGAAACCAGCUGUGAUCAGCACAACAUCCACUGUGCUAACUCUUAGAAGGCCAAGAAAACCUGCAACACUGAAGAAUUCCCAAUGGAGAGAGAUGGCAGCUGGAAUCCGCUGAGAAGUGAGCUAAGAGAAGCUUCAGAUCAUGUUCUCCUCCUCACACUGAACUCACCUGGACUGGGAAAAAAAUGUGGCACCAAACACUGGUUGAUCUUCCCAGAAUCAGAGCGACACGAGAGUCUUUCCCAAAUCUAUGACAACCCUCAGCAGAAGCAGCUCAUCUCAGUGUAUGGAUGGAUCUCCAAAGCCUACAUGGUGGAGAUAAAGAGGACAAAGGCUGCUGCAGAAAGAGGCAUGCCAUGGGUGUUAGUGUAAGGCAAGGACCGAGGGAAUGGAAAUGGAGAUGGCUCCAAUGGAGGAGUGAAAAGAUGGAAUAAUCCCACCUAGGAAAAGGCAAACUUUUCUCACCAUUGGAGGGGAGAGAGAGAGAGAGAGAGAGAGAGAGAAAGCAGAUGAGAAGGAGCCACAAAGGAGAGAAUCUCUCUGAAUUGAGCUGCAAUGUGACAGAGGAAAGAAAUAAUACUUGUCAGUGUACUGAGUCUGUGGCACUGCCCCCAUUCCUUAGUAGUUUUCACUAUGCUGUCA